AGAGCACGUAUAGAACCAACGCUCUUCCCAUCUCCCUCUAUUACUUGGAUGCUCUGGUAUUGCUGAGGAAAGAUCUUGGGGAACAGAUCUGUUGAAUCUCUGAUGCUUUCCCAGAAUUUGUCAGCAGGCUGGUUGGGCCUAUUCUCACAAUUAAGAUGGUCCUCAACUACCAUCUACAUCUGCGGUUUUUGCUCCUCCAUUUAUUUUCGUGCCGGUGGAGUUGGUGAGAUCUGAAUGGAUGCAGAUUCUGCAGUUGAACAUGAGAGGAUUACCUGCUUCUAACUUUGUGCUUCUAUUUCAGAGGUGAAUUAUUCUUUCUUUUUAUUUAAUUUUGCAUUGAUGUUUUAUUGCAAUGCUACUAUGUUCUCUUGUUCUGUGAUUUC